UGCUGCUUUCUCUUUGCUCCUCUUUCUCUUCUUCAGUCUCCUAGAGCAGCGAGGAUCGUUGGACUCACAGCAACAGAGGAGACGGGAGAAGAUGAUCUGCAGGAUCCUGCUGCUCAUCAUCCUCAACACAUGUCUCUGUGCAGCAACAUUUGUAGUGAAUGUGACACAGAGCUCCUAUCAGGCAAAGGAGAACCA